AACGAACGCUGGCGGCAGGCUUAACACAUGCAAGUCGAACGCUCGUAGCAAUACGGGAGUGGCAGACUGGUGAGUAACGCGUGGGUGACCUGCCCUUGAGUUGGGGAUAGCCAUUAGAAAUAGUGGAUAAUACCGAAUACGAUCGCUGUCACUGUGGUGAUGCGAUGAAAGGAGCUACGGCUCCACUCGAGGAUGGGCCCGCGUCCCAUUAGCUAGUUGGUGAGGUAACGGCCCACCAAGGCGACGAUGGGUAUCCGGCCUGAGAGGGUGUACGGACACAUUGGGACUGAGAUACGGCCCAAACUCCUACGGGAGGCAGCAGCUAAGAAUAUUCCGCAAUGGACGAAAGUCUGACGGAGCGACGCCGCGUGGAUGAAGAAGGCCGAAAGGUUGUAAAAUCCUUUUGCUGAUGAAGAAUAAAUGGAGUAGGGAAUGAUUCCAUGAUGACAUUAGUCGGUGAAUAAGCCCCGGCUAACUACGUGCCAGCAGCCGCGGUAACACGUAGGGGGCAAGCGUUGUUCGGAAUUAUUGGGCGUAAAGGGCAUGUAGGCGGUUUUGUAAGCCUGGUGUGAAAUCCUGCAGCUUAACUGUAGAAUUGCAUUGGGUACUGCAAGACUUGAAUCACAGAGGGGAAACUAGAAUUCCAGGUGUAGGGGUGGAAUCUGUAGAUAUCUGGAAGAAUACCGGUGGCGAAGGCGGGUUUCUAGCUGAUGGUUGACGCUGAGGUGCGAAAGUGCGGGGAGCAAACAGGAUUAGAUACCCUGGUAGUCCGCACCGUAAACGAUGUACACUAGGUGUCGGGGCAUGAGUCUCGGUGCCAAAGCUAACGUGUUAAGUGUACCGCCUGGGAAGUAUGCUCGCAAGGGUG
rnacentral:rRNA from 1 species